CAACUAUCGCACGAAUGUGUGAAAUUUCCCCGCCAGAUUUGCUGCUAUGAGCAAGAAACGUAUCGUCGAGUCAACUCGCUCGCACCAACACAAACCAUGCCAGCCACACGUGCUCAGCGAACGGUCGCUCGUGCUCGCUCGCACUAACCCUCACAGCGCAAGCCCGUCCGCCCCGAUUCUGACUAGCGAACCGCUGUCCCGCAUUGGUCUCGCUCGCUCCCUUACAAAAUUCUAUUGCGCUUCUGUUGAUCUGCUGUUUUGUUUUAUUACUUUCGUUCGCAUGAAGUUGUGUCGUGGUUUUUUUUCUAUUAUUGUUGCUCCGUUUGAAUAUUAUUGGCGAUAUAAAUUUCCCACCUCAUGACAGAAAAACACAGGAGUCCGGGGGAUCCGCUGAAGCGGUUCGUUUGUUCGAGCUUGGGUUAAAAUUUGUGAAAAGAAAACGAUCGAGACGAUCGUAAAACUAAUCGAUUGGUGUGUUAUUCAGUAGUGUAUGUAUUAUGUUGCUUCUCGGUUGUGCCCGGUAGGUGAUAAAAGUCAGAUAAAAGAGUUAAUCUAGAAGUAAAAAGGGUAAUGGCGUUGGUUGCUACCAUUGUUUACGAUUGUCUGUCUGCUGGCUGACUAGCUGUGACCCAAAGGAACCCUUCGAUCCGCUUGUUCCGAUCGCGAGAUCUUCCAGCAAAGAAACUCCGUGGGCAAACCUUGAAGAAUUUUUAUAGCAACCUCAAAUAGUCUCGAGUUCCUAACGCGAAUUGUGAUUUAUUUUCACAAAAGAUCCAGAAGCGAAGGAAAUUUAUGUCACAAAACGAAACGGAGCUACUACACAUCGAACAAAAGCCAAUGUCUGAGUAGGUUCGGCGCCCGUACAAGAAACAAUAGGGCUUGGGUGUAAAUCAUAACCGCUCGCCCAACCGAAGCAAAACGUGCCACCAAGCAUCAUUUGCAGAUCAGCUGUGACAAGGCAAAUGUUAUUUAGCUAUCAUCAUCGUUCCGAACCCCGCAACCCUACCUACCCUGCGUUAUGAACCGCAUAAAAUUUAAUUUCCAGGAUAAUCUUCCACCUUCCGCCACACAAAUGCGUGCAACUGUGGCGAUAACAAUCGGAACGCGGCACCCGGUAAAAGUGACUCCCGGUCGGAAACCCUUGGGUGCACUUUUUCACACGAUCAACCCGGACCCUCUUCGGUGCGACCGAUGCAAUAAGGCGUGCCGUGAGUUUUCUUCCUUUCUAGACCGAGCAAUAUCCGGGACCUAAGUCGAGACUGAAUUCCUCACCCUUUUUUAUGGCAUUUUGUGCUUUCAAAUGGAUGCAGUUAAAAGUUUUAACUUCCAAAAUGGUUUCACCCCAUCGGCAGCGGCAUUGGGAUGGUUUGUUCUUUUAGGGUUUUUUUCUACUUCUACCUCACAUUAGUCCUUGCGAUAAUAUCAAGAUCGAUGGCACGCGUCGAAUCAUUCAAAAAUCCACAACUAGCCGGUUGGUGGUGAUCAUGUAAAAAAAAAAAGAAGUGAAAUAAUUACAUUAGUUUAAAGGAUGGACACACAUACGCGUGCGUGUUGCGGUUGUCGGGUAUAAAAAUUGCCACUUCUGUCAGCUUUCGCUGAAAAGGCUCUAACAGGAUGUGGUCACGUGCCGCUUGGCUCUUGGCAUGUGCAAACGGAUAAGUCGUUACUGAUCGUAAUCGUUUGGCUUUUGAGGUAGUAGGACAAAGAAGGGGAAAAAUACAUACACACGCACACACAUUAAGAAAAGAAAAUUUGGAAAAACAAGGAUCGCCGGAUUGUAGUACGGGAGUGUGUUUAUGGCACACCAAUUCGAAGAAAACCCUCACGAGAUUGAACGCCUGAACAUUGGCUGAAUUGAGCUAGUUUUUUCCCCGGCUUUUCAGUAUGAGCUGACACUUUCGCGUACGCAUUUUUCCCGUACGAUGGUAACCAGAUUUUUUUUUCUUUUUUAAAAUAAGUCCUUAGUCUCUCAAACCAGUGAAGAAAGAAGCAAAGGAAUCGAUUCCGGACAAAAGGACAAUAAAACAGUUCGAUGAUUUAUUGCCAAUUCUUAGCAUGCCUGACUUUAUCAUCAUUAUUUAUGUUUUUGGUGGGGUUUCUGCGCUUUUUUUUGGUUUGCGAGAAGUGCUCUACCCGCAACAAUAACGAAAACACAUUGUCGCGUGGAUGGAUGUGGAAAGUGGGUGGCAAGAAGCGAAUGAUUGACUUUUCUUUUCCAACACAAAGAAACCCAACGAAGGUGUAUCUUUCUUUGUGGCAUUUUUUUUUUUGUUAUACCGCAAUUUUCAUCUUGAUUAAAUUGAGAUUCGGUUUGAAUGGGAAGGAUAUGGUAGAAUCGUUACCAGAUGACACUAGACGAAGUAACCGACACCUUCAAGCAAUUAUCUCGCAAAACAUUUCGUCUUUUUGUGUCCUGUUUGCAAAAAACCUCGCACACCAUAUCAUGGCGGAUGGUGGGGAAACAGGUUUGAAAAAUAUUCGAAACAGAAAACAAACACACUCGAAAUGUCCCAUUUCGCAAUCACGCGACCGAGGUGAGUUAUGAAUAUAGAUGACGGAUAAUUGAAUGAGACAUAAAUAAAAUAUAGUCCUUCAUCCCGACAGGUCCGUUGACGGAAUAGGCACGAUGGUAACGAUGGUGGUCCGGAAGCAGGAUGAGUUGAUGGGAAAAGUGUCAAAUCAAAUGCUGUGUGUGUGUGCGGUAAAGAGGAUGCUAGUCCGUAACAUUCGAAUGGAAGGAGAAAAUGUACCGAAAUGGAAGAAAAAUGGAAGGGUGUGCUGGUAAAAGAAGAGAAAAAAAACAACAACAACCAUUACUACCAAUUGAGACGACAACGCACAUACAUAUAAAAGAAUGGAACGUUUUCUGGUAGGGUGCUGACAGGAUUUGGAAAGGAAGCAACUCUCGCUAAGGGUGUUAACCGAUGAUGGAGAGCCCUUAAACGUUGGACAGGCACGGGUAUGGGAACACGAGCCACUGGGCCACACCACGCAGAGUUGUGGAUGAACGAUGAUUCUCAAACCAUCAGCCGGUGGUUCUUUCCCUUCCGAGUGGGUCAGUUUUGAUGAGCCAUAAUCAGACCCAUCUAGCAUAGAAAGGAUUCGUUGCCAGGCGGGCUCGUACGGUUUAAUUGAUUUUUUAUUCAAAUGAACGCAAUACCGAGAACCUUCCCCGUCAAUUUUGCCGAUUUUGUUACGAAAGGUUCAUCAUGGUGAUGUUCCGCCACGUGACACACGGUGGCAAUAGAUUUUUUUUACACAUUUUGUUUAAUUUUUACGAUGAAAUCGAAUUAGGUUUUAUGAGCAUUUAAUGUUAGAAAGAGAAACAGCAAGAGAAAGACAGAGCGAGAGAGGGGAGUUUUAAGGACAAAAACAUUUGUACCACAAUAGUUGGAAUAUACACACAAUUUGUUAAAAUGUAAAUGUUUAUUAACAAGUUUAUCUUCUUUGUUUAUUUAAAUUAUUACAACUAGUGUUGGGUGAAUCUGAUUCAGAUUCAUGAAUUUGAACGAAUCAUUUAACUGACUGAAUGACUCCGAAUCUUUAUUCUGAAGAUUCCUGAAUCCUCAUUGAAUUAUGAAUCCUUAGAGUUUCGGGACAGCCCGACGAUUAAUCGGUCCUCCUCCGGGUCCUACCUUUUCAGUUAAGUUUGUUGGCAAUGAAUAAUAAAGGAUUCAUUAAUCUUUCAA